rnacentral:misc_RNA from 1 species
AAGUCGUAACAAGGUUUCCGUAGGUCAGUAAAACCCCUAGGAAUUCUCUUAACAUCUAUCUCGAAACGUAUGCUAACAUAUUCUUGUAGGUGAACCUGCGGAAGGAUCAUUACUGAGAUAGGGUCCUUCGGGGCCCGAACCUCCAACCCUAAAUCUACAAUACUCUGUUGCUUCGGGGAGGUCAACCCUCUGGCCUCACGGUCUCGGGCGCUCCCCAGAAGAAUCAACCAAAAAACCCUUGAAAAAAUGAGCAUCUGAGCCGAAUUUUUAAUAUUCAAAA